rnacentral:rRNA from 1 species
AUUGAACGCUGGCGGCAGGCCUAACACAUGCAAGUCGAGCGGCAGCGGGAAAGUAGCUUGCUACUUUUGCCGGCGAGCGGCGGACGGGUGAGUAAUGCCUGGGAAAUUGCCCAGUCGAGGGGGAUAACAGUUGGAAACGACUGCUAAUACCGCAUACGCCCUACAGGGGAAAGCAGGGGACCUUCGGGCCUUGCACGAUUGGAUAUGCCCAGGUGGGAUUAGCUAGUUGGUGAGGUAAUGGCUCACCAAGGCGACGAUCCCUAGCUGGUCUGAGAGGAUGAUCAGCCACACUGGAACUGAGACACGGUCCAGACUCCUACGGGAGGCAGCAGUGGGGAAUAUUGCACAAUGGGGGAAAGCCUGAUGCAGCCAUGCCGCGUGUGUGAAGAAGGCCUUCGGGUUGUAAGGCACUUUCAGCGAGGAGGAAAGGUUGAUACCUAAUACGUAUCAACUGUGACGUUACUCGCAGAAGAAGCACCGGCUAACUCCGUGCCAGCCGCCGCCGUAAUAC